rnacentral:tRNA from 1 species
AGGGAUGCAGCUCAGUGGUAGAGCACUUGCCUGGCACGUGUGAGGUCCUGGGUUCCACCCCCAGCACCACUA